rnacentral:rRNA from 1 species
UACGGGGGGGGCAAGCGUUGUUCGGAAUUAUUGGGCGUAAAGAGCUCGUAGGCGGUCUGUUACGUCGGCUGUGAAAACCUGGGGCUCAACUCCGGGCCUGCAGCCGAUACGGGCAGACUAGAGUUCGGCAGGGGAGACUGGAAUUCCUGGUGUAGCGGUGAAAUGCGUAGAUAUCGGGAGGAACACCAGUGGCGAAGGCGACUACCUGGCCUGUUCUUGACGCUGAGGCGCGAAAGCUAGGGGAGCAAACGGG